AUUGAACGCUGGCGGCAGGCUUAACACAUGCAAGUCGAGCGGAGAUGAGGUGCUUGCACCUUAUCUUAGCGGCGGACGGGUGAGUAAUGCUUAGGAAUCUGCCUAUUAGUGGGGGACGACAUUCCGAAAGGAAUGCUAAUACCGCAUACGUCCUACGGGAGAAAGCAGGGGAUCUUCGGACCUUGCGCUAAUAGAUGAGCCUAAGUCGGAUUAGCUAGUUGGUGGGGUAAAGGCCUACCAAGGCGACGAUCUGUAGCGGGUCUGAGAGGAUGAUCCGCCACACUGGGACUGAGACACGGCCCAGACUCCUACGGGAGGCAGCAGUGGGGAAUAUUGGACAAUGGGCGGAAGCCUGAUCCAGCCAUGCCGCGUGUGUGAAGAAGGCCUUUUGGUUGUAAAGCACUUUAAGCGAGGAGGAGGCUACCUAGAUUAAUACUCUGGGAUAGUGGACGUUACUCGCAGAAUAAGCACCGGCUAACUCUGUGCCAGCCGCCGCGGUAAUAC
rnacentral:rRNA from 1 species